GCUUUGCGGGGAGAAACAUCUCAUUGCAACAAAUUCCUCUUAUGUUUUCCUUCUUGCCGUCUGCUUCUUUCCGAUAAGAUUUAGCCUCCAGGACCUCCUUUCCGAGGAUUUUGUCUUCAGAACCGGUCGCAUCGGUCCACGAUCUUGUUUUUCAUAUCAGAUUUUUGUACGAUGAGAGGAUUGACGUUGUCGGAUCUAUGUUUUUAAAGGCCUUAAUAGGCAAGCAGUCGAAGAUUUGACAGGAUGUUUUAUCAACUUGAAGGGAUGGUCUCACCAGGGGCUGAGAUCUGGACGAGGGUAUUGUUCUUCAGAUGUACCGUGGUAAUUUAUAAGGCAUCUGAUGUUUUGAAAUAGCGAUGUGGGGUGGUUUGUUUUUGAAAGGAUGUGUAAGAUGUCAGGGCAAAAAGUCCUACUGAUAUUUAUUUGGAAGGGGGCUGAGUCCUGAUCUAUCUUUGUCAUCCCAGACCUUUGCCAUGACAGGUGCGCUUGCAUGGCAGGUCACCCAAGCUUAAUAAAAAUUCAACUUUUUUGGUGUUUUUGAGGGGAGUUCGCACGGGGGUUGCCCGGGUUCUCCCCUCUGCUGUGGUGUGGUGUCGUGUUUCCUGCUCUUUUUAGUCUCUUUCUUUUCCCUCUCGCUUUCCAUUAUUUGCAUCCACAAUUAGUCCCUUUGAUACUCUGCACAAUACGGGAUGGAUGCAUGAUCCGCAUCACCACCAACAUCGGAAUAAGCUUAUGAUCUCCAAGUCAUUGACUCUACUACUUGCAAAUCCCAAGGCCAAGUUCUUUAGGCCCUUGCAUGGGCUUCUGUUUACAUUGGGUUGAAGGUUGGAGUUUCGUUCACUAGCUAUAGAAGAUUUUGAUGAAGAUGUCACAGCAGUGAGCAUAUUUUGGAGGUAUUUGUGGAUUUACUAUUGCAAGCACGUUGCAUUUCUCUUCUGUUUGAUUAACAUUGGAAAUCAAGGUAUGUGGAGUUUUAAGUGUUCAUCUAGCUUGGUCAACUUUCAAGAUCUAUGUCGGGAAGAUCUAUGUCGGGAAGGUAUCUGAAGCCCUCGGGGGACAAGCAGUGGGAGCUCUGGAGGCCUCGAAAAUAUAAAUUCAUUGCAGCAGCAGCGCUGUACUGAGAUAAAAUGUUGAAGAGCUGCUGUUAUUUGUUGUCGAAGAUUUUGAUCAUACGAGUGUGGAUAUGACAGUUUGUUUUGCAGGUUGAAGGUGGAUUGAAGGCUGAAAGGUUUUAUGUUUUGAAUUUAGUUUUUGAUGGUGGAAUCUCAUGUUUCUAUAAAAAAAGUCAUUAAAAGUUUCCUUGCUUGUUUUUUUUUUUUUUUCUAAUAAAAUAUUUUAAAGCGCUGAUCAUGUUUGUAAAUUCUCGUGUCAGCCGCCAGUAUUUUUUGGAAUAUGUAGGAUAUAACUAUCAUUCAUAUUACUUUUUAUCUAAAUUGAAAACCUCAUAUAAAAAAAGCAAAAGAUGAAAGUGAAAUUAUAAGGUUUGCUUUUUUUUUUUGUUGUUUUACGAAAUUAUCUUACACGUUACUAUUUUUUUUUUUUAUGUUAGUAGGCAUUUAUUUUCAAAUUAGUUUUAAAUGAAAAGUCAGUUUCGUGGGUUUUUAAGACUUGAAGAUGAUGACUAAAAUGGAUUUUUUUUCUGAUCAAAAAAGUCUCCAUUUUGGACGUAAGAAAUGUGGUGAUGAGGGUUUUUG